rnacentral:lncRNA from 1 species
AAGACGGGGAGCUCAGCUUGGUGCUGUGACGACCUAGAGGGAUGGGAUGGGGGCGUGGGGGGAGGCUCGAGAGUGAGGGGUGUCUGUAUACACACAGCUUGUAUACUUGGUUGUAUAGCAGAGACGAACGCAGUGUUGUAAAGAAGUUACCAUCCGAUCUGAAACGGAGAGAGCUUAUUGUCUGUUAAGAUAAACUGGCUUCCCAUUAAGUGCCGAAAGUCAGGAUCAGUUUGCAGAUGUGCAGGCUACCAGGGGGCUUCUCCGAGAAAGCAGUUCUGCAGCCAGGGUGCUUUGGCCAUCGGCCACCAUCCCCUGUUGCCAGCGGACCGUGUGUGCUGUGCUGAGUCGCUUCAGUCGUGUCUGACUCUUCGCAAUGCUAUGGGCUGGAGCCUGCCCGUCUCCUCUGCUCGUGGGAUUCCCAGGCAAGAACACUGGAGAGGGUCCCCAUGCCCUCCUCCAGAGGAUCUUCCCGACCCAGAGAUCAAACUCGUGUUUCUGUCUCCUGCAGUAGCCAGCGGGCUCUUUACCACGAGCACUGCCUGGGAAACCCCCGUGGACCCAUACUGCAAGGUAGCCUCCCUCAGAUACCCUGUUUGCCCAGGCUGGAGGAAUCUACUGACUUCC